UUGUCUUCUAAAUAAAGACCUGUAUGAACGGCUAAAUGAGGACAAAACUGUCUCUUAUAACAAAUCAGUGAAACUGAUCUCCCAGUACAAAAGCUGGGAUAAACACAUAAGACGAGAAGACCCCGUGGAGCUUAAAACAAACCACUACCACGCCAACCCUAGUAGAAUGUUUUGAGUUGGGGCGACUUCGGAAUAAAAUCAAACUUCCGAGCAUAGAACCACCACUUCCAACCAAGGCCAACAGGCCGAAACCAUAACAUGACCCGGCCAAGAUGCCGACUAACGAACCAAGUUACCCCGGGGAUAACAGCGCUAUCUUCUUCAAGAGUCCCUAUCAACAAGAAGGUUUACGACCUCGAUGUUGGAUCAGGACACCCAAAUGGUGCAGCCGCUAUUAAAGGUUCGUUUGUUCAACGAUU
rnacentral:rRNA from 1 species